AUAAAAGAAGGUCAUGAGAAUAAGUAAUAUUGCUUAUAGUGUGGGAAAGCCGUUUGGACUGCUCAAGUGAAAAGCUGCAGUAAUAAGACAAAGAGAAACUGUCUUAAAAGAAACAAGCGAAAACCUUCCCAUGGGUCUGAUGGUAAGGGGGGAGGAGGAGAUAAGAAAGGAGGCCUUGGCAGAAGGGAAGGAGCAAGGCUGAACUGUUCAAACUGGGAUUUGCUAAAGCUAGCAAGUUAGCUGAGGUGUCUAAAGAGAGCUGUGAAUGUGAAGGUGCUUUGUCAGGCCUGACCUGAUCACACCGGGGCAUAGCAGGCUGAGAUGCUCAUCCCCAAGUCCAGCCCGUUUUUCAACGUCUUUCUAACUAAGGACCAGAGGACGUGAUUGUAGCUGUGGCAGUCGUCCAGGAGAAGAAUGAAAAAUGACAAAGCCAGCGCCCCUCGGGAGCAAGGGCAGGGGUGAGCUACACAACAGAAGCAAUGUUAGGAACACGGAGCCUUAAGGUGGCCCUGAGCAAUCAGACAGUCACUUUGAUACGGGUCCGUGGAAACUCUGCAAGCACAAAAUAAAGUUGCACGUCCUGUGAAAAUUGAUGUAGCUAAUAUAAUGUGAUAGCAAAGAAAAAUGGGAGUUGAACGCUGGAAGGAAUGUGCAUUUCCCCCUGGACUGUGCAAUGUACAUGUAAAAGGGGUAAAAGAAAGGUGACCAAAACAUGCUACUUAAUUCAAAUCUUCUUUUUCCGGUGGCUGUGUGCUUCGGAAGCAGAAACCAACCCAGCACCAAAAAAGCUCCAUGCAUUUCAGAAAUGGUCCUUAACCGGUAUAAAUCUUUUCCAAACAUUAUGAUGAAUUGUGGCGUAAAUUCAAUGUUAUUAGGGAGUGAAACGCUACACGGUGGUGUGGUGUAAAGGAAGAAGAAGAAUUGUAUUAAAACUAAGUAAUUGACUAAUAGAUUGAAAUGCCCUCGAUUGAAAACAAAUCCGGCUAGUGGUUUAAGGUUAAACCUGUUCAGAAAAUAUUGUGCAAUAUGGAGAUGAUAUUCUGGGCCACACUGCUGACAGGAAGCCCUUUAAAAGUAUUGGAAACCCUGUUUGCAGGAGGUUUCCUUCCUGGGUCUAUCCCUGCAACCCAGCCAGCAAGCUGCAGACAGACAAAAGGGUGAAGUGAUUUUGGAGCUGCCCCUCCCUGGUUCAGCUGGGUGUGACGGGCUUUUGUCAGGAUUUCAUCCCUGCCUAGGCAAUCGCUGCACGUCUCUACCAGCUCCUGCAAUAAAAGGUCGAGUAGGAAUGGCCCCGCCCCCAGCAGCGUAUACAUUAAAAGGGGGUCGCCGUGUUAGUCCGUAUCAACAAAAACAACAAGGAGUCCGGUGGCACCUUAAAGACUAACAGAUUUAUUUGGGCAUAAGCUUUCGUGGGUAAAAAAAACCUCACAUUAAAAGAGGCUUUAACACAAGCGCCAGGUCUUGGCACCCCAGAUUAGAGAAAACUUUUUGGAUUGUUUGUAUCAACCAGGGACACAGCCAUUUCAGCUACGUGGAUGCAGGACUGUCAGGGCAGAGAAAACCCUAUUGCGUAUGCAUCCAGGAUACUGAACGGAGUUGAAAAACUUAUUUCCUGUUUGCUGGCCUCGACACAUUUUAGAUGGGGGUUGGGACGCAUAAAACAGUACGCUGCUCAUACUCCCUUCAAGUAUCCUUUGUCUGGUAAAUUCUGAAGGGCUGCACCCUGAGGGGCUGAGAGCAUAUGUCAAUGGGUCGUCCUAUCACCAAAAAGGGACCUCAGGCACAGGUAGGGUGACCAGACACCAAGUGUGAAAAAUCGGGACGGGGGCAGGGGGUAAUAGGAGCCUAUAUAAGAAAAAGACCCAAAACUCGGGACUGUCCCUGUAAAAUCGGGACAUCUGGUCACCCUCGGCACAAGAUCUGUGCAGUACAGGGCAGCACGCGGAAUUGGCUGCUGUAACAGCGGCAUUCCCACUCUGUACCUAAGGACAAGUGCCGGCAGGUGUGAUACGUUCUGACUCUCAGUGAGUGUCUCCCCUGGUGGAGCCUGAAUUUAUUUUGCCCGCAGCUCACCAGCCUUGAUGCUAUCGAGCCCUUUUGUCCUAUGCCUGGGAACUCACGAAUCAAUGGGGUGAGUCAGCGGAGUCUGCGGUUAAGGUAAAAGUUCACUCCAGACAUGGGGUAGUCAGCAAGAAAACAGCACAGGGUGGAUGAAGCUGCUGCGAGUGGAGCUCCAGUGUGGGUCCCUCCCCCUGCUCAUCCGGUCCUUGCUGGGCCCACUCCAGCACUUUGAUUUAAUAACGUUCCAAGAAGCUGCUCCACGGGGAUCUGCUCUUAACACAAAGUAAUGCACAGGGCACGAAACCCGUUCCAUGGCAAAUGGCUCCUUGGUGCUCAGUGAAGGGGAUGGCUUAGCUUACCCGCUCUGAGAGGUGCUGCCCUACCCCCUAGCAUGAAGUGGUUUCCAUCAGACAGUUUGGUUCAAUGGCUCUCAGCACCCCCACUGUACAAAUUACUCCAGCAUCCCUGCCCGCUUUGAAUUCCUCUGCGGCCUCUUCAAAGGGAAAUGUUGCGAUCGGUGCAUGAGAUACCGUUGGGGGCCCACCAAAGUGGUGAUGCCACUUAGCAGUGACUGAUAAGGCAGCCGAGUGGCCCGACUGUAAAAAAGAUGUAACAAUUUGUGUUAGCCAUUGCCUGGUUUGUGCUAAAAACAAUCCACCAGGGAAAACAGACUGUGGAUUUACCCGGGCACAGCACCGCAGGAAAGAUUGCAGAUUAACUACACAGGGGAGUUGCCCCCGCACAAGAAGAGGCAACCAACAUUUACGGGUAAUCGCUGAUGCCUUUACUAAAUGGACAGAAGCCCUGCCUUACUGGAAAAGCCUCGGCUCGUGUUACAGCCAAACUCUUAGUGGAGCCUGUCUUUUCUGGAGGAUGCCCCACACCAUAGACAGUAACCGGGGAACAACCUUCACGGGGAAGGUGAUGAAAGAUGAUUGCGUCAUGCUGCGACUAGAGUAAAAAUUUCACAUACCUUAGAGUCAUAGAAUCAUAGAAUCUCAGGGUUGGAAGGGAGCUCAGGAGGUAUCUAGUCCAACCCCCUGCUCAAAGCAGGACCAAUCCCCAACAAAAUCAUCCCAGCCUUAUCUCCCCCAGGCUUCUGGCUCGGUGGAAAGACCAAACAGAACCAUCAGAACGAUGCGAGAGACGGUGGUAUGUGAACCAGGCAAAGACUGGGAUGGAAAAUUGCCUGUGAUCCUUAUGGUUUUAAGGGGAACCCAAAAGCAACCAACCAGGAUCUCUCCUUUGACUGCCAUGACAAGCCGAGAAAUGAGACUCCCAGAACAUUUGUUCACUAGUCCCAUGCCACGCCUAAUGAAGGAAGGGUUGGUCACAGAACAAUGGGUCAGACCGCUGGAAAAAAUGGUACAAGUCAUGUGCGUGUGUAGUGCAGAGUAGCAGGGAUGGGAUCAUGCCAAAAACGAGGGCAUGCUUUAACAACAAGCCCAAAAUCCAGAGGACAGAGCGCUGGUACUAUUGACCCCGGAAAAAAACCCGUUUCCAGCACCCAGGUGGUGAGGCCCCUGCUAUAUAAUGCAAAGAAGGCAGCUCUGCAGUUCUCUGGUACGAAUAGAAGCAGGACCUAAAAGCAAGGAUCGAUGGCUACGUGCUACUCCAGUUAAACCUGGUUAAUUGUUCCCACUAAGGCCAUGUCUACACUUCGAGCUUACAGCGGCACCGAUACAGCUGUGUUGCUGCAAGCGCAUUCGUUCGCCGCAUCGUGCUCUCCCGUCGCCAUCAUAAAACCAGCUCAAGGAGCGGUGCUAGCGACAUCAGCAGGAGAGCGUCUCCCGCUGACAGCGCUGGGCACAUGAGCACAUAAGCUGGCAAAAAUUAUGUUGCUCCGGGGGUUGUUUUUUCACACCCCUGAGUGACAACAAUUUUGCUGACGUAAGCGCUAGUGUAGGCAUGGCCUAGGGCAGCACCGGAAAUCGUGGUUUGUUUUUCAGGCUGUUGGUAGCGUCCAGAGAGGCCGGUGUGAUUGUGGGUGGAGAAGGCGCGUCAAUAAAACGCAGAAAUAACAAUCCGAAUUUGGGGAUCUGAGGAAGCCGCUGUCAUUGAAGUGACAGCCGGAGCCCAGCUCAGUCAGGGUGUGAAAUAAACAAUGCCACUGGAUAUCGCACACCAUUCCGCAAGUGGCCUGAAGACAAGCGAAAAAAAGGUGAUUGCAUAAGAAUUGACAAUUGUAGCAUCAGUCCCCAUUUAGGGAAUGGUACCUUCAGUUUUCCAUAUGUGCAUGCUAGGCAUGAGAGGCAUUACACGUGUUUUGUGUUUCCUGUAAUAUUUAAUCAAACAAGGGUUUAGCAAUGUGUACUCUACAGGGCGUCAGGGAAGGUAGCCAUAAGGGUGGCACAAAUACCGUACAUUGGAAAAAAACCCACAAUGCCCCACAGUGGAGGCAGGACCCAGUAAUGGACGGGUAUUAAGGCCCCUUAAAGAGCUGUUCAAUUAUGUUCAAUUUAUACAUGUACCUGUGCUGUUCAGCUUGACUUCACUGCAUUUGCCAAAGGGUUUAUGUCCACCAGGGUUUGGCCAAUUGUCACGCACAAUGAUAAAGGACUCCUGGAGAGACUUUGUCGAUAGAAAUGCAGAUAUAAGUGGAGUCUGAAAGAAUGGAUGAAUUCUCCCCUGACAGCUAGCUAGAAGGGGGGAGAGACUUCAGGCGCAAACUGCAUUUAUAUGAACACACCUUCUCUGCUUAGAUAUCCAGCAGAUAGAGCGGUGUUGCUCAAGUAAUCAACUUGGGCUGGUGUUGGGUUACAAAUCACUUUAGUACUGAGUGUAGGGAUAGUGAAAUGCUGUUAUCAAUGGGGUGGCAUUGUUGUAUGAAUGAAAGGGAGCAGAACUGUGCUUAACCUGUCCCAAAUGAGGGGACCACCCUCAGCUGAAAGGACCUUGUUAAACCAGGGGCUUGAAUGCCAGAGCCCGUGAAAGUAAAAGGGGUGGGGACAGGUGUUCUAGCCAGGAGGUGUGAACUCGCCCUAGGGGGUCCCCCCCCCACGCUGGUUUACCCCAUUCCUCCCCACUGCUCAAAGAAAGAGCUAAAUAGGCUCCAUUGUGCGCCUCUUUGUUAUUUUAAAUGCUCCAUCAGAGCUGAAAUCAGUUGUGGUGGGACCGUGUCUCUGCCCAGCCUGCGAAGAGCUGAAAAUCACUGAGACGGAUGUGCAGAGGUCACAGCAGAGUGGCAGGUGGCAGCAGAAGGUGACUGACAGUUGGCUGGCGAACGAGUGGUUGGUGAAGCGGUGAGCAGAACAAACCGCUGGCGAGGCAGUGAGGAACCGUGGCUGGCGGAACGGCCAGCAGAGAGGAACCAUGGCUGGUGGGCCAGCCAGCCGGCAAGGAGCAGCUGCUGGCGAGGUGGCCAGCUGAAGCAAGUGCUCAGAUGCAGAGCAAGCAAGGUGCCUUCUUCCCCAGGUGCGAGGUGAACUCACACAGAUGCACCUCUGAACCCUGGGUCCUCUCUGACCAAGGACAACCCCCGUGAGUGGGGUAUGGAGAGGAAGCGGAGAGAGGCACAGAAAAGGAACUUUUGGUUGUAGAACUCAAGAACAUGAGACAGACGACUCUGCCCCUGGCACUCUGGGGUGGGCGUCCUGCUCACAGUGUUAUGUUUAUGAAUCCUGUUUGUGGCAUUUUCCCUAAUUAAUGCCAGGUGACUUCCCUCCAUUCAUUAAAAUUUUCUUUUCUACACUCAGACUCUGUGCUUGCGAGCGGGGAAGUAUGGCCUCGCAGAGGCGCCGAGGGGUGGUGUGUAAUUUUCCCAGGUUACUGGGUGGGGGCUCGAGCCAGUUCUGUGUUGUAUCGAUGGAAAGGAACCCCUAGAUAUUGAACCUGGCCCUGGUUGCUGCCGGCUCCACCUGGCAGAAGGGUUACACAUAGGCAAAGGCACCUGAAUCAAUUCAAAGGUGAAGCCAGUGGCACCGAUCCACUAGUGAUAUAACAGGAUGGUUUGGAGCCGGAGCAUUAAUCUGGAACCAGGAGGGCAUUGAGACCCUGGGGGAGCACGAUCAAACUUUCAAACACAAGCUGGCUGGGACAUACUUAGCCCAAAGAAUGAGCAAAGCAAAGAACUCCUGAACCAAGAACUUCUGCAUGUAUCUAAUGUGCAUAAUGUUGUUAAUCAUCGAAGCAGGGCAGUCACCAGGGCCAUGACACGUUCUGUGGAUAGGGGUAUGCCCUAGACAAAAUCAAAGCCACUCUCCCUGAUAUAGAACACAGUAAAUCACCCGCUUUCAUCACCCCAGAGAAAUGGACAACUUGGUGUGGCAAAGAUCAUAUUGACUGGUCUAAAAUAACAACAACAGCAAAACCUCGCAUGGGUCCAGUGCAAUGGGGUUAAUUGUGGGAAGAAUACAGGACUCCUUAUCCCAUUCACGCUAGCCACCCCAGCAAUCGCAGAACACCAGAUCAUUCAAACCCUUGUUAGAAUAGCACCUGUAGGAGACCAGGAAGACACUGCAACCCAUAAGGCUUGAAAAGAAUUAGUUUCUCCUCCAUACUAUUGCCAGAUAAGGUCUGGAAAGCCCCGCACGUAAGAACAGAAGAACAGCCAUACUGGGUCAGACCAAAGGUCCAUCUUGCCCAAUA